rnacentral:rRNA from 1 species
GGUCCAGCCUGCCCAGUGAUAAAAUUCAACGGCCGCGGUAUCCUAACCGUGCGAAGGUAGCAUAAUCACUUGUUCUUUAAAUAAGGACUCGUAUCAACGGCAUCACGAGGGUUGCACUGUCUCCUCCCUCCAAUCAGUGAAACUGAUCUCCCCGUGAAGAAGCGGGGGUAUCACUAUAAGACGAGAAGACCCCAUGGAGCUUAAAACUGGACAGCAACUUACUUAUAUUCUCCUCCCCACUCACAAAGACAUGCCCGUCAGUUUUUGGUUGGGGCGACCGCGGAGUAAAAACCAACCUCCACGUCAAAAGAAUACGAUUCUAUCUUAGAGUCACUCCUCAAGAAUUAGCACACUAAUAAACACGACCCGUUCAACGAUCAACGAACCAAGUUACCCUGGGGAUAACAGCGCAAUCUACUUCAAGAGCCCCUAUCGACAAGUAGGCUUACGACCUCGAUGUUGGAUCAGGGUAUCCUAGAGG